rnacentral:sRNA from 1 species
AGAUGAAAUCCUUCCCUUGAGUGUGGCGUGCUGAGAUCUCCACCUGGAGGCAUCCCCAGCUGGUAGAUCAGUCCUGGGAAGCGGAGGAGACCAAGAGAGGGGCCUUGCCUGGGACAGACGUGGGCCAAGCCGGGGCUGGAAUCUGGGACUCCAGGCGGAGGCCCCUUUCCUUUGUUUCAGCUGAGCCCAGCACCUCUGAGUGUCUGCGUCUGAGCGGAGAUUGUGAAGCGUCUGAGCGGUAUCUGCGCUCAGAUUAUCCCCUUCCUGACCCAGGAGCAUCAGCAGCAGGUGCUCCAGGCCGUAGAACGCGCCAAGCAGGUCACCGUGGGGGAGCUGAACAGCCUCAUCGGGGUGAGUCUCUCUAGCCCCUGCCCCACCAUGGGGAGACGCCCACUCCCAGGUCCCUGGCACCCACCCAGGAGGUGUUAAAGCUGGGGUGGUGUGUGGGCCUUGGCUCCGGUGGUCCUGGGAACCCCAGGGGCACAUGCUGUGCUUAGGUCCCAUCCCCUGUGUCUACCUCUUGGGCUGGGGACCGCUGGGCUCCUGCCGCCCCCCGCCCCGGCCCAUCCUGCCUCCUUUCUAGCAGCAGCAGCUCCAGCCGCUGUCCCACCACGCACCC